AUUGAACGCUGGCGGAAUGCUUUACACAUGCAAGUCGGGCGGCAGCGCGGGGGCAACCCUGGCGGCGAGCGGCGAACGGGUGAGUAAUACAUCGGAACGUGUCCUUAAGUGGGGGAUAGCUCGGCGAAAGCCGGAUUAAUACCGCAUAAGCUCUGAGGAGGAAAGCGGGGGAUCGUCUAGAAACUGGAGACUAGAAACUAGAGACUAGAUUGAUAAGGUGCGGCGAAGCCGCGCUUCGUUAGUCUAGUUUCCAGUCUCUAGUGUCUAGUUUCUAGACGACCUCGCGCUGUUGGAGCGGCCGAUGUCGGAUUAGCUAGUUGGUGGGGUAAAGGCUCACCAAGGCGACGAUCCGUAGCUGGUCUGAGAGGAUGAUCAGCCACACU
rnacentral:rRNA from 1 species